rnacentral:rRNA from 1 species
UAGGGAAUCUUCCACAAUGGACGCAAGUCUGAUGGAGCAACGCCGCGUGAGUGAAGAAGGUUUUCGGAUCGUAAAGCUCUGUUGUUGGUGAAGAAGGAUAGAGGUAGUAACUGGCCUUUAUUUGACGGUAAUCAACCAGAAAGUCACGGCUAACUACGUGCCAGCAGCCGCGGUAAUACGUAGGUGGCAAGCGUUGUCCGGAUUUAUUGGGCGUAAAGCGAGCGCAGGCGGAAGAAUAAGUCUGAUGUGAAAGCCCUCGGUUUAACCGAGGAACUGCAUCGGAAACUGUUUUUCUUGAGUGCAGAAGAGGGUAGUGGAAUUCCAUAUGUAGCGGUUUAAUACGUAGAUCUAUGGAAGAACACCAGUCGCUCAGACGACUCUCUGUUCUUCCACUUCCGCUGAUUCUCAAACGCAUGGUUAGCGAACAGG